GACGAACGCUGGCGGCGUGCUUAACACAUGCAAGUCGAACGAUAAGGUCCCGCUAUUGCGCGGCGCGCGGGUGGCGAACUGGUGUGUAACCCGUCGGUAACCUGCCACGUACUUAGGGAUAAUUUCACAUAACUGUGGCUUAUACCGACUAGGAUUACUUGCUGCUUACACUGGGUGGGCAAGUUUUGGCGGUUUGGGAUGGAUUCGCGCAAUAUCAGCUUGUUGGUGGGGUAGUGGGUUAGCAAGGCUUUGACGGGUAGCCGGCCUGAGCGGGUGACCGGCCACAUUGGGACUGAGAUGCGGCCCAGACUACUACGGGAGGCAGCAGAGGGGAAUAUAGCACAAUGGGAGGAAGCCUGAUGCAGCAACGCCGCGUGCGGGAUGACGGCCUUCGGGUUGUAAAGCGAUUUCGCCUGUGACGAAGCGUGAGUGACGGUAAUGGGUAAAGAAGCCCCGGCUAACUACGUG
rnacentral:rRNA from 1 species